UCCAGCUUGAACUCCACUGGAUUGAUUGAAAUCCUAUAAACUGUGGAAGUGGAGGAAGAAAAGAAUCACUGUAAACAAAAUACUUGUGAUCAAAUCUGGAACACAUCUCUGAUACAUAAGAAACAUCAUCAUUGCUUGAUGGGGAUCACUGAGUGUAAGCCAAGGUGUGAAGGAGCUGUUCCUGUUACAAAGAACUUCAUGGCAGAAACUACCCCAAACUGAAAAGGUUAUAUUCAUAAACCUUCCAUCCCCUGUAACGUCUCCAAUGUUUCUGGGUGGACUUUAGGUAAUUAAAAUGGUCUUUUCUUCUUGACCCAUCUCUGGCUGAGGGUCAGAUUGAUAGGAGUUCACAGGCGAAACGUGAGUACAGUGAAGGACAGUAUUGUUCAAAAUGGCAUUUCAAAGUGAAAGAAAACAGAUACAUCAAACGUCACCUCAUCUAGGCCAGGGGAGGAUGUAUAAACACUCGGAGUGCUUUGCCCCACCUGGUUUUAACAAGAAAAAUGUAAUAAGUGUUCAAAUUCCCAUUACAAGGUUGUCAGAGCAAAAUUAGUACAUGAUACGCUCCAAGAUGUGGAUUGUUCAGAAUUUACCGACGCGUGAAAUCAGAAUUAGGCAAAAUGCUUGCAUCAGGUAGAAAGUCAGCAAGGAUUCAUCGCAACUACUGAAGUGUCAACAAAAAUAGAAUCAUUUUUAGCAACUUUUCUCCUAAGUGAAGAAUCCAGGG